rnacentral:rRNA from 1 species
AUAACUUAGUGGCGGACGGGUGAGUAACGCGUGGGGAACCUGCCUUGCACCGGGGGAUAACACUUAGAAAUAGGUGCUAAUACCGCAUAAGCGCACAGGGCCGCAUGGCUCGGUGUGAAAAACUCCGGUGGUGCAAGAUGGACCCGCGUCUGAUUAGCUGGUUGGCGGGGUAACGGCCCACCAAGGCGACGAUCAGUAGCCGGCCUGAGAGGGUGAACGGCCACAUUGGGACUGAGACACGGCCCAAACUCCUACGGGAGGCAGCAG